AAAAAUUUUUCGGUCUCGGAAGGGCUCGCGGCCUAUCAACUUGUUGGGGAAGUAAUGGCUCACCAAGGCGUCGACGGGUAGCCGGCCUAAGAGGGUGACCGGCCACACUGGGAAUGAGACACGCCCCAGACUCCUACGGGAGGCAGCAGUGGGGAAUAUUGCACAAUGGGCGGAAGCCUGAUGCAGCAACGCCGCGUGAGGGAUGACGGCCUUCGGGUUGUAAACCUCUUUUAGCAGGGAAGAAGCGAAAGUGACCGUACCUGCAGAAAAAGCGCCGGCUAACUACGUGCCAGCAGCCGCGGUAAUACGUAGGGCGCAAGCGUUAUCCGGAAUUAUUGGGCGUAAAGAGCUCGUAGGCGGUCUGUCGCGUCUGCUGUGAAAUCCCGAGGCUCAACCUCGGGCCUGCAGUGGGUACGGGCAGACUAGAGUGCGGUAGGGGAGAUUGGAAUUCCUGGUGUAGCGGUGGAAUGCGCACAUAUCAGGAGGAACACCGAUGGCGAAAGCAGAUCUCUGGGCCGUAACUGACGCUGAGGAGCGAAAGGGUGCGGAGCAAACAGGCGUAGAUACCCUGGGAGUCCACCCCAUAAACGUUGGGAACUACAUGUGGGGACCAUUCCACGGUGUCCUGGACGCAGCUAACGCAGUAAAUUCCCCCCCUGCGGAGUACAGCCGCAAGGCGAAAACUCAAAGGAAGUGACGGGGACCCGCACAAGCGACGCAGCAUGCGGAGUAAUUCGAUGCAACGCCGAAGAACCUUACCAAGACUUGACAUACAACAGAACACCGUAGAAAUACGGGACUCUUUGGACACUGGUGAACAGGUGGUGCAUGGUUGUCGUCAGCUCGUGUCGUGAGAUGUUGGGUUAAGUCCCGCAACGAGCGCAACCCUCGUUCUAUGUUGCCAGCACGUAAUGGUGGGAACUCAUGGGAUACUGCCGGGGUCAACUCGGAGGAAGGUGGGGAUGACGUCAAAUCAUCAUGCCCCUUAUGUCUUGGGCUUCACGCAUGCUACAAUGGCCGGUACAAAGGGCUGCAAUACCGUGAGGUGGAGCGAAUCCCAAAAAGCCGGUCCCAGUUCGGAUUGAGGUCUGCAACUCGACCUCAUGAAGUCGGAGUCGCUAGUAAUCGCAGAUCAGCAACGCUGCGGUGAAUACGUUCCCGGGUCUUGUACACACCGCCCGUCAAGUCAUGAAAGUCGGUAACACCUGAAGCCGGUGGCCCAACCCUUGUGGAGGGAGCCGUCGAAGGUGGGAUCG
rnacentral:rRNA from 1 species